rnacentral:rRNA from 1 species
GGGAAAAAGGGGUGAGACUCCCACCCAUGUGACUUACCUUUGUGUGGCUCCGCAGAAGCUGCUCGGUAUACCCUACCUUGCAGCGGCCUACCCUGUAACGCCUUACCCUGGAACGGCUUCCCCUGCAACGGCUGCCGGUGGACUACCAUUCUCUUGUUAUUUUAUUGGAAUCUGACCGCCUUAUUUUACUAAGUCAAAACUUUCAACAACGGAUCUCUUGGUUCUGGCAUCAAUGAACAACGCUUCGAAAUGCCAUUGCUCCCGUGAAUUGCCUAAUUCGCUGGAUCGUCCAAUCUUUGAACGCACAUUGCGCCCAUUAUUAUUCUAGGGAAUCUGCCUGUUCAAGCGUCAUUUCCCCCCUUAACCCUAGCUUAUUGUUGGGAGCCUACUGCUUUUGCAAUUUGUAUCUCCUGAAAUACAACGGCGGAUCUGCCAUAUCCUCUGACCGUAAUAUUUUUUAGCUCGAUUUUGACUGGAGUUGCAGCGCCUUUAGCCGCUAAACCCCCCAAUUUUUAAUGGUUGACCUCGGAUCAGGUAGGAAUACCCGCUGAACUUAAGCAUAUCAAUAAGCGGAGGAA